CUCAGUUCGGAUCGGAGUCUGCAACCCGACUCCGUGAAGCUGGAUUCGCUAGUAAUCGCGCAUCAGCCAUGGCGCGGUGAAUACGUUCCCGGGCCUUGUACACACCGCCCGUCAAGCCAUGGGAGCCGGGGGUGCUUGAAGCGCGUCGCCGCAAGGCGCGCCCUAGAGCAAAACCGGUGACUGGGGCUAAGUCGUAACAAGGUAGC
rnacentral:rRNA from 1 species